rnacentral:RNase_P_RNA from 1 species
GGAAGCGGGUCGAGUGAUCGCUGGCCUGAGUGCAGACUUAGUGCGAGAGGAAAGUCCGAGCUCCAUAGGGCAGGACGCUGGUUAACAGCCAGGGAGGGUGACCUCGGGAAAGUGCCACAGAAAACAAACCGCCACGUCUUUGCCGUGGUAAGGGUGAAACGGUGAGGUAAGAGCUCACCAGCUCCGGCGGUGACGCUGGAGGCUUGGUAAACCCCGUUCGGAGCAAGACCAAAUAGAGGGGUGCGUGAGGGUGGCCCGCCCGAAACCCCUGGGUAGGUCGCUUGAGGGACCGGGUAACCGGUCUCCUAGAUGAAUGAUCACUGCCCUGCUCUCGGUAAGGCCGAAGCAGGGAACAGAACUCGGCUUAUAGACCUCUUCCUUAG